rnacentral:misc_RNA from 1 species
UUGAGUUGUUAAUUUUUACACUAUAUUACACUUUAGUUCGUAAUUUUGAGAAAUAAAUUAUUUAGUUCAUUUAAUUUUAAUAUAUAAAAAAAUUUAAUUUCAGUAAUUUUAAUGUUUACAACAAUUUCAUCUAUUGACAGAAGAACUAAAUUUUUCAAUAUAUUAAAAUUAGAUAGACUAAAGCAUGAUAUAGUGCGAAAUCUAGGGACUAAAUAAUCAAUUUUUCAAAAUCUAGGGAUUAAAGUGUAAUAUAGUUCAAAACUCUGAGACCAAAUUGUAAAUUUCCCUUUAUUAAUUGUUUCCUAGCUUUAUAUUUCUCAACUUGUUAUGUCAGAUUUUGAAUGUGAUGGUUCUGUUUUUGUAUGAAUUGAACACAUGACAGAUCCAUGCCAAAUGAAUAUUGUAGGAUAUGCAUGGAAUUCCUGUUUUCUUCAUUUUAUUUUUCAUCAAACUGCAAACAUGGAUUGCAAAUCUUACAAAAGUUGGCUUCUUUUGCUUUACCUUCUCUGUCUCUCACUAUCUAACUUCAAUGAAGAGCAAGUAAUGUUCUAUUUGAUUUCAUAAGCUGAAACAUAUGCUUUAGCUUUUACAUGUAACUAGAAGCCAAAGUUACUUGAUGUUCUCUACCAAGUGCUUG